rnacentral:rRNA from 1 species
GACGAACGCUGGCGGCGUGCUUAACACAUGCAAGUCGAACGGACAGGCCCUGCUUUUGUUGGGUGCUCGAGUGGCGAACGGGUGAGUAACACGUGAGUAACCUGCCCUUGACUUUGGGAUAACUUCAGGAAACUGGGGCUCAUACCGGAUAGGAGCUCCUGCUGCAUGUUGGGGGUUGGAAAGUUUCGGCGGUUGGGGAUGGACUCGCGGCUUAUCAGCUUGUUGGUGGGGUAGUGGCUUACCAAGGCUUUGACGGGUAGCCGGCAUGGGAGGGUGACCGGCCACAUUGGGACUGAGAGACGGCCCAGACUCCUACGGGAGGCAGCAGUGGGGAAUAUUGCACAAUGGGCGGAAGCCUGAGGCAGCAACGCCGCGUGCGGGAUAACGGCCUUCGGGUUGUAAACCGCUUUCGCCUGUGACGAAGCGUGAGUGACGGUAAUGGGUAAAGAAGCACCGGCUAACUACGUG